CAGCCGCCACGGUAAUACGUAGGGUGCGAGCGUUAAUCGGAAUUACUGGGCGUAAAGCGUGCGCAGGCGGUUUUGUAAGACAGGCGUGAAAUCCCCGGGCUCAACCUGGGAAUGGCGCUUGUGACUGCUAAGCUAGAGUGCGGCAGAGGGGGAUGGAAUUCCGCGUGUAGCAGUGAAAUGCGUAGAUAUGCGGAGGAACACCGAUGGCGAAGGCAAUCCCCUGGGCCUGCACUGACGCUCAUGCACGAAAGCGUGGGGAGCAAACAGGAUUAGAUACCCCCGUAGUCCCUGUCUCUUAUAC
rnacentral:rRNA from 1 species